ensembl:rRNA 5S_rRNA 5S ribosomal RNA
GCUUACGGCCAUACCACUCUGAACACGCCCGAUCUCGUCCGAUCUCGGAAGCUAAGCAGGGUCGUGCCUGGUUAGUACUUGGAUGGGAGACCGCCUGGGAAUACCAGGUGCUGUAAGCU